rnacentral:rRNA from 1 species
UACGUAGGGUGCAAGCGUUGUCCGGAAUUAUUGGGCGUAAAGAGCUCGUAGGUGGUUCGGUAAGUCGGGUGUGAAAACUCUGGGCUCAACUCAGAGACGCCACCCGAUACUGCUGUGACUCGAGUCUGGUAGGGGAGUGUGGAAUUCCCAGUGUAGCGGUGAAAUGCGCAGAUAUUGGGAGGAACACCAGUGGCGAAGGCGGCACUCUGGGCCAGUACUGACACUGAGGAGCGAAAGCGUGGGUAGCGAACAGG